GAUAGAACGUAGCGAAAUGCGAUACGUAGUGUGAAUUGCAGAAUUCCGUGAACCAUCAAAUCUUUGAACGCAUAUUGCGCUCGAGGCUUCGGCCGAGAGCAUGUCUGCCUCAGCGUCGGUAUUACCCCUCGCUUCUCAACCCCUGGUUGAUGCCUGCCUGCCUUUGCAGUUGGCUAGAAGCGGAUCUGGCUUUCCCAAUUGCCUUUGGUAGUUGGGUCAGCUGAAGCACAGAGGCUUGAGCAAGGACCCUUAUUGGGCUUCAACUGGAUAGGUAGAACUGGUCUUAGGACCAACUACACGAAGUUGUUGCUUGUGGUCUUUUGUCUGGAGGCCAGCAGGAAACCUUUAUACCUUCGACCUGAGCUCAGGCAAGAUUACCCGCUGAACUUAAGCAUAUCAAUAAGCGGAGGA
rnacentral:misc_RNA from 1 species